rnacentral:lncRNA from 1 species
GACCUCACUUUGGAAACACUGACAGAGAGCUUUCAGAGAUGCAGUGACUCUGCCAGAUGCUUCAGUGUCUCCCAGGAGGCAGGUUUUGCAGUGCAUGGAGAGGAACCAGCUGGCAGAGAAAGAUGUUUACAAAGAAGAUAAAUUCCUCUUCAGGCCUGACACCAGCCAUCCACCUCCAGCAGCAAGGGAACCAGGAAAUCUCAUGGCCAGCCUGGCCAGCAAGCGAGUGGAAUAUGCAAAGGAGAUGACUCACAGCAGACCAGCACGGUCGGCCAUGAAGCAGAGGCCAAAUUGCCAUCUGUUUCAUCAAGUUCGUUGGUGGUUGCCGUAUUUAUGUCUGUGAUUUAUGUCUAGGUGUCACCAUGAGCCUUGGCAGAUUUGGGAGACUAUUAAAUGUAUGAUUUGUCGAUA